GCCGUGUUUGCUUCCCUUUCCACCGUGAUUUUAAGUUUCCUGAAGCCUCCCCAGCCACGCUGAACUGUGAGUCAAUUAGACCUCUUUCCUUUAUGAUUUACCCAGUCUCAGCACAUGAAGAACAUCAACUCCACACAGUACUUGAUAAGAAAUGCAAUAAACUUAAGUAUGAUUGCAGUAAGUCUUGAACUCAUGGUGAUAUCGAGGACAACUUCAGCCCCUCUGGAAAAAGAGUGAUCUUAAGAUUGAUCAUGGGAACAAUUUCCUAUCCUUCAGAACACUCAAGAACUGGAACCAAAUUUUAGAAGUGCAGAUGGUUAUCACUGGGCUAAAAUCAAAGAGACAGCAAGUCUGAUUCCUUUCUGGAGGGUCUAUGGAUGAAUCCAUUCCUUGUAUUUUACGGCUUCUAGAGCUGGUCAGCAUUCAUUGGCUCAUGUCCUACUUCCAUCUUCAAAGUUGGCAAUGACUGGUCUCUUUUUUUGGAUUGAAUCACCCUGACACUCUUCUGCCAUUUCUCCCUAUUUGAAAAAAAACAAAACAAAUAAACAAACUUGUGAUUA